ACUCCUACGGGAGGCAGCAGUGGGGGAAUCUUGCGCAAUGGGCGAAAGCCUGACGCAGCCAUGCCGCGUGAAUGAUGAAGGUCUUAGGAUUGUAAAAUUCUUUCACCGGGGACGAUAAUGACGGUACCCGGAGAAGAAGCCCCGGCUAACUUCGUGCCAGCAGCCGCGGUAAUACGAAGGGGGCUAGCGUUGCUCGGAAUUACUGGGGCGUAAAGGGAGCGUAGGCGGACAUUUAAGUCAGGGGUGAAAUCCCGGGGGCUCAACCUCGGAAUUGCCUUUGAUACUGGAUGUCUUGAGUGUGAGAGAGGUAUGUGGAACUCCGAGUGUAGAGGUGAAAUUCGUAGAUAUUCGGAAGAACACCAGUGGCGAAGGCGACAUACUGGCUCAUUACUGACGCUGAGGCUCGAAAGCGUGGGGAGCAAACAGGAUUAGAUACCCUGGUAGGAUAGCG
rnacentral:rRNA from 1 species